rnacentral:rRNA from 1 species
AUAACAACAAAAGCCACAUGGCUUUUGUUUGAAAGAUGGCUUUGGCUAUCACUCUGGGAUGGACCUGCGGUGCAUUAGCUAGUUGGUAAGGUAACGGCUUACCAAGGCGAUGAUGCAUAGCCGAGUUGAGAGACUGAUCGGCCACAAUGGAACUGAGACACGGUCCAUACUCCUACGGGAGGCAGCAGUAGGGAAUCUUCCACAAUGGGCGCAAGCCUGAUGGAGCAACACCGCGUGAGUGAAGAAGGGUUUCGGCUCGUAAAGCUCUGUUGUUGGAGAAGAACGUGCGUGAGAGUAACUGUUCACGCAGUGACGGUAUCCAACCAGAAAGUCACGGCUAACUACGUGCCAGCAGCCGCGGUAAUACGUAGGUGGCAAGCGUUAUCCGGAUUUAUUGGGCGUAAAGCGAGCGCAGGCGGUUGCUUAGGUCUGAUGUGAAAGCCUUCGGCUUAACCGAAGAAGUGCAUCGGAAACCGGGCGACUUGAGUGCAGAAGAGGACAGUGGAACUCCAUGUGUAGCGGUGGAAUGCGUAGAUAUAUGGAAGAACACCAGUGGCGAAGGCGGCUGUCUGGUCUGCAACUGACGCUGAGGCUCGAAAGCAUGGGUAGCGAACAGGAUUAGAUACCCUGGUAGUCCAUGCCGUAAACGAUGAGUGAUAGGUGUUGGAG